rnacentral:lncRNA from 1 species
UAUAAUAGGUGAAUAUUAGAUGACAAAUAUAUAUUAACUAUAUAAAUUUAAAACAGUUUGAAAAGUUAUUUGAUCAUUUCAUACGCAAAAAUAUGUAUAUGAAUAAAAGAAAAAAAAGAGAAAAAAAAAAUACUAAAGUAUUAAGAUGGAUGACAGUGCAUUCAUUCUACGAACAGAUAAAAGGAAAAAAACAUCAUUUUCACCCCAUACUAUACAAGAAAAGUUAAAGCCACAUCUAAACUAUAUAAGUGACCUAUUACACAUCUUAACUAUAUAAAAGUAAUAUUAUUACCUGUCCGCGACCCUCAUUCUAAAGCACGUAUGUUACAAUUUUAGGCGCGUCCAGCCUAUUAAAUAAUAAAAGUAAACGACUAAAAUCAUUAAGGGAAAAAGCAUCGUUUUCACCCCAAACUAUAGUCGAAAAGUCGAAUCCACACCUAAACUAUAUAAGUGACCUAUUACACACUUUGACGAUAAAAAAAAGUGAUAUUUUUUACUCCUUAAAUCUGACUUGAAAAAUACAUAAUUAUUUAAAUAAAAAUUAACGCAUUUAAAUUAAAAAUUAAUGCAAAAAAAAUUAAAAUUAAAAUACUUCUCCCCCAACCCCCAGCAUCCAUCUCCCCACCGCCAUCCCCAAACAAUCCUCUUCUUCAUCACCCCUAACCCCAAACCAUCAUCUUCUUCAUCACUCCCACCCUGAAACUCCAACCCCAACCCCAAACAAUCUUCUUCUUCAUCACCCCACCCCAACCAACACAGUUUCUUCAUCACCCUACCUCCAAAUUCCAACUCCAUCCCCAAAUAACAUAAUUCAUCCUCCACCUUCAUCGAACCAAUAUCAAUUUCACAAUGAACAAAAUCAAAUUGUAUUUGGUGUUUAAACGGGUAAAACCAAAUUUUAUAAAAAAAAUAUAUAAAAUUUUGUAGCAAGGAUGUUUUCCGAUGGAUUCUCGUUGGAAAAGUCAAAUUCAUCGUCAACUUUCUCAUCUCAGUCUGUUAAUUAUUAAUCCAUCCUAAAAUGGAGUUUGCUACCAUAUUAGUUUUUUCUUUAAAUUAUAGCUGAAAAACAAAUGAAAAAAGUAUGAAAAUGUGUUGGUCAUUACCAUUUAAAAUACAGAGGCCAACAAUCAAAUGACCAUUUUUUGAAACAAUAAUGGCCAUUAUAGCUGAGAAUUUUUUAUUUUAUUUUUUAAGAAAAGACGAUGGAUUACAGAUGAAGAACAAUGUUAGAAGAAAUUAACUGUUAUGAUAAUUUUGUUGGUGGGAUAAAGUUUAUGGUGGUGAAUAUGGUGUAAUGGAGGUAAUGAAGAUUUUGGACAUUAACAAUGGAGGUUUUAGACAUUGAAGAAGAAGGAAAAAAAAUUAAAUUAAAAACAAAAAAGAAAAAAUUAUGAAAAUAAUAAAUUUAUUAUUUUUUCGAAUUAUGCUGACUUGGCAGCGCGUGUAAACACCAUACCACAUGCAAGUUGUGUAAUGCCUGACAGAGUGUAAAAAGUAUCACUUUUUUAUAGUUAAGGUGUGUAAUAGGUCACUUAUAUAGUUUAAGUGUGGAUUUGACUUUUCGACUAUAGUUUGAGGUGGAAACAAUGUCUUUUCCCAACAGAUAACUCCCCAUUUUUGGCAAUUGGUUGGUGCAACGUCAAGCAACCUGAAAUACAUAAGGGAGGAUAAGAUAGCCUACAAGAAAAUUAAUUUUGUAACUUAAGACAUCAAGUUUAAUUUAGAAAUCAUUCAUAGCAGGGCAUACACAGGAAAGAAAGAAAUUUAAAAGAAAAUAAUACUCAGCUGCAUAUGAGGAUACCUAUGCUGCAUAUUCCAUGUCACAAAGUUUCAGUGAAUCUGUUGUUGCUAUAUAUAUCAAUUGAUGGCAAAUGAUAUUCAUUGACUUAGGAACUUAAGAGUUACUCUAAAACGUUGGGAGAGGGAAACCUUUUUGGCUGUACAAAUAAAUUUAAUACAAAUUAAUAUGGAUAAUUAUAGACUUAGAUUAAUUUAAUUAAUGAAUGAAAAAGAGAAAAAGAGAAAAAUUGAAAAAAAUAAUGAAAAAAUCAAAAAAUGGAAAAAGCAUACCACAUCAGGAUGUUUAUAACUCUUCUUUUUAUAUAUAUAUAUAUAUAUAUAUAUAUAUAUACUUUUGAUUCUUAUAAUUUUAAACAAAUACGUGUAUUAUGACAAAAACAUAUAUACCCUUUAAAUCUUGUAAUACUAAACACGCAUGUUAUAUCAUUUCUACAAGUACACGUCAUUAAAGCUAUAAGAAAAGUUAGAACAAGAAACUUACAAAGGGUUAGGUGAUGAGUGGUAAAUUUACCGCUCAUUUACCUCCAAAUGCAACUUACAAAGGGUUAGGUGAUGUGUGGUAAAUUUACCGCUCAUUUACCUCCAAAUGCGUACACACUACUAUGAUUUAAUGGUAUGAAUGAGACAACUUUGGCAUUUGAAUGCACUAAUUCUCAUAUUUUGCAGGUAUACAGGUGAUGAAAAGAAAAGAAGUGAAAUAGGCUAAAAAGAGAUAAAAAAAGGGAAGAGAAGUGCAAAAGCUGGAAAAGCAGGAGCAGGAUCUGACCUCAGUUACUGUGAUCGCGGUCUGAGGGCCAUGAUCAUAGACAUUCAAGAUUAGUCAGAGCCAACGAUUGUGAAGGAUUCACCACAAUCGCGGGAGUCGCGAUCGUGAUCAAGAUGGGGCAAUCGCGGCAGCGGGGGUUUAUGCCAAAGGGCAGAUUUGUAAUUUCAUAAAAUUGACCCCAAAUCCCAUAUAGAGCAAAAAUCCUUUCAUUUUUGGGCAUCUUCCCAACUAAAAUUGAGCUUGGAGAAAUUUGAAACCCUGUCUAAUUGGGAAACUUAUUGUGGCAAAUUUCUCACGCGAUUUUGAUUGUAAUUGAAGUUGGCUAUUGAAGAAUACUCUUGUUUGCUUCUUCAAUGGAAGCAUUGAAUGAUCAUUUUGGCAUAAUUCUUUUCCCUAACUUCAUGAGUAGCUAAACAUUUAUCUUGGGAUUAUAUUGAAAUCGGGUGCAAAUAUGUGUGGGUUGUGAUUUAUUAGUGUAGUUUCUUAGUUAUUGAUGAUGGGUUUCACUAAUGCUUGCUUUGAGUUGGGAUUUGUGAGUGAAAACUUCAAAUUCCCAAUACAUCAUCCUUGAAAGAGGGACAUGAGUAUACUUUUGGAUCUUAUAUCAUCCUUGAAAGAGGGAUAUGGGUGACAAAGCAUUAGUGAACAAUAGUUAGAUAUAGCUUAUUUCAUUUUCAUUAUCUUACAAAUAAAGGUGGAUUGAGAAUUAACUAGGUCUUGGGCAUCUUUCUAGAAAUAGGGAUGCCCAAUUGAGGUGUUGGGUGUAUUUUCUUGCCACAUCCAUGAGGUAUCCGAAAAGGUCCUUGGGUGUUAAUCUUGAGGUUUUGUUGACAAAUUAGCAUCAAGAGCCCCUAACCUAGCCUACUCAUGUAGUUGUUAACUAGAAUUUGCAUUCCAUUCUCAUGAAACAAUGCAUUAUUUGCCCCUAGGAAGACAUAAUCCCAAG